UAACGCGAAGAACCUUACCUGGUCUUGACAUCCACGGAAGUUUUCAGAGAUGAGAAUGUGCCUUCGGGAACCGUGAGACAGGUGCUGCAUGGCUGUCGUCAGCUCGUGUUGUGAAAUGUUGGGUUAAGUCCCGCAACGAGCGCAACCCUUAUCCUUUGUUGCCAGCGGUCCGGCCGGGAACUCAAAGGAGACUGCCAGUGAUAAACUGGAGGAAGGUGGGGAUGACGUCAAGUCAUCAUGGCCCUUACGACCAGGGCUACACACGUGCUACAAUGGCGCAUACAAAGAGAAGCGACCUCGCGAGAGCAAGCGGACCUCAUAAAGUGCGUCGUAGUCCGGAUUGGAGUCUGCAACUCGACUCCAUGAAGUCGGAAUCGCUAGUAAUCGUGAUCAGAUGCUUAUAGUUAA
rnacentral:rRNA from 1 species